AACGAACGCUGGCGGCAUGCCUAACACAUGCAAGUCGAACGAGACCUUCGGGUCUAGUGGCGCACGGGUGCGUAACGCAUGGGAACCUGCCCUUAGGUUCGGAAUAACUCCCCGAAAGGGGUGCUAAUACCGGAUAAUGUCUUCGGACCAAAGAUUUAUCGCCUUUGGAUGGGCCCGCGUUGGAUUAGCUAGUUGGUAGGGUAAAAGCCUACCAAGGCGACGAUCCAUAGCUGGUCUGAGAGGAUGAUCAGCCACACUGGGACUGAGACACGGCCCAGACCCCUAGGGGAGGCAGCAGGGGGGAAUAUGGGAAAAGGGGCGAAAGCCGAACCCAGCAAUGCCCGGGGAGGGAUGAAGGCCUUAGGGUUGUAAAGCUUUUUUCCCCGGGAUGAUAAUGAAAGUACCGGGAGAAUAAGCCCCGGCUAACCCCGG
rnacentral:rRNA from 1 species